ensembl:snRNA U6 U6 spliceosomal RNA
CUGCUUGCUUCGGUAGCACAUGUACUAAAAUUGGAAUGAUACUGAGAAGAUUGGCAUGGCCUCUGUGCAAGGAUGAUUUGCAAAUUCGUAAACUGUUCCAUACUUUU